rnacentral:tRNA from 1 species
UAGCUCAGUGGUAGAGCGCGUGACUUUUAAUCCCAUGGCCGUGGGUUCGAUCCCCAGC